GGUACCCUAACCGUGCGAAGGUAGCGCAAUCACUUGUUCUUUAAAUGAGGACUAGUAUGAAUGGCAUCACGAAGGCUACACGUCUCCCCCCUCCAAUCAGUGAAACUGAUCUCCCCGUGAAGAAGCGGGGAUAAAACCAUAAGACGAGAAGACCCCAUGGAGCUUAAAACUCAGUUCCACCUGCACACCAAUAUAUCACAUCAACCCUGCAGAUCUGCUUACUAGUUUUCGGUUGGGGUGACCAUGGAGCAAAACAAAACCUCCACGACGAAAGGACAUCUCCCUAAUCCAAGAGCAACAACUCUAAGAAUCAAAAAAUUGACGUUACUUGAUCCAAGUUUAUUUGAUCAACGAACCAAGUUACCCUGGGGAUAACAGCGCAAUCCAUUUCAAGAGCUCCUAUCGACAAAUGGGUUUACGACCUCGAUGUUGGAUCAGGGUAUCCUAGUGGUGCAGCCGCUACUAAAGGUUCGUUUGUUCAACGAUUAAAACCCUACGUGAUCUG
rnacentral:rRNA from 1 species